GCAACAGAGUGAGACUCCAUCUCAAAUAAAUAAAUAAAUAAAUAAAUAAAUAAUGGAUUUAGAGGACAAUCACCUUAAUAAAUCACCUGUUUUUAUUUCUGCUUGUUCCAGUAUAGACAUAACUUUUGUAUAGCACAGAACCUUAGAAUUAUAAUUCUUCAUUCUGAUUUUUUUUUUUUGCUUCAUAAUAUAAUCAUUUUUUCCCUAUGCUGUUGUCUGGUCCUUCAUAGUUGCAUAAUAUUUGCAUUGGGUCAAUGUAGCACAAUUUACUUAACCAGCUCACUAGUUUUUGGUGACUUCCAAAUUGGUGCUAAAAUUACAUUGCAAUGACAAUCUUGGUGGAUAUUAUUUUUCUGAA
rnacentral:lncRNA from 1 species